CUCCUUGCACACACCGCCCGUCGUUUCAUUGAAGUUUACCUUUUAGCGAGGUGAUAUCUCAUUGGUGUCAUCGAACUUGAGGCAAGCAACAAAGGGGAAA
rnacentral:rRNA from 1 species